rnacentral:rRNA from 1 species
GAUGAACGCUAGCUACAGGCUUAACACAUGCAAGUCGAGGGACUGGCGCACGGGUGAGUAAUACGUAUCCAACCCGCCCUUUACUCGGGGAUAGCUUUCCGCAAGAAAGAUUAAUACCCGAUAUAAAGGAUGGGGAUGCGUUACAUUCGGUUGUUGUUGAAGUAACGGCCCACCAAGCCUUCGAUGGAUAGGGGUUCUGAGAGGAAGGACCCCCGCAUUGGAGCGGGGACACAGACCAAACUCCGACGGAAGUCAGCAGUAAAGAAAAUUGGGGAAUGAACGGUGGCCUGAACCAGCCGAGUAGCGUGAAGGAUGAAGAGUUAUGGGAGGUAAACUUCUUGUAUAGAAGAAGAUGUAUUAUAUGAAUAAGGAUCGGCUAACUCAGUGCCAGCAGCCGCGGUAAUAC